AACUCGAUUAACAGUCGAGUGCGCACUCGACUGUUAAUCGAGUUGUCACAGGUUCGAGUCCUGUUCGGGGAGCCA
rnacentral:tRNA from 1 species